rnacentral:lncRNA from 1 species
CUGCCACACCUGUCUGAAGGUAAUGACUGUGACCUCUCAAAAUAUCACCACCUCCUUGGCUCCAGGUUGGCUGAAGGCCACUCACAUUGCUCAGGUCUGAGGAUGCAGGUGACCUCAUCAGUGUCCCCUGACCGUGUCCCUGUCAGCUGCAGAAACCAAGAGGCAAGAUAAUCGUCAGAUUUAGCAACAUCAGGAGGAGCCAGCCAGACAUGGACUGCAGAGCCUCAGUUCAAGAUGCUGCUGAGAAAGUGAAGCAGGCAGGAGUCAGUGCCGGAGAGGGGUCCAUGUCGGUGUCGGGAGAGCGCAUUGGUGGCCUUCAGCAGUGGUGGUGAAUCCUGGAGAGACGUCUGUCCCCAGGAGUCCCCGAUGACAGCUCCAGAUGCCAGAUGACUAAUAGAACCACUCCCUUGUGUUGACCUCACAGGAAGUCCUUGGAUGUACAUCUACUGCUACCGAGGUCACCAUGGCAGUACCACGCAGCCCCAGUCCAGGGGCUGAAGUGAAUGUUGUGGAGUUCAAGGAGUAUAAGUGCUCUUGGGAGGGAGAGAAUGAACUGCAAUUUGAAGACCGCAGAUCAAGUUCUGUUAGACCUGAAGCAGCUCUCGGCUCCCUAGACACCAAAGUGCAGAAAUGUGAAAGUCACCUUGUAGCCUGGGUUGGGCUUGAACUUGCAGCAUUCUGCCUCCUUCAGCCUCCUGAGUGGCUAAGAUUACAGACUUGCAAAGACAAAUGUGCCCUUCAGCCCGGCCAGUGGCAGCACCCUGCUUCAGGGCAGCUGCGUGCGAGCCAGGAAGUCGGUGGUUGGCGGAAUGCACGGAGCAUCCCCAGGUGCCAGGCUGCAGGCAUGAUGUCGCCUGCCUGCCUGCCGUGUUGGAUCUUAACACCUAUGACUCUCAGGAGACCCGACUGCUCUGUCGCCACCUCCUGGCCGGGAGGAGUUGUCCUGUUCACAGCAGACGCCUGGGAGUGCAGCCACAGGACUACCCACAGUGAGGGGUUCCAGGACGGUGACGGGAGUGAGGAGCCAGGUCUGCCUCAGCCCACCAGCCCUGAGGAGCAGCUUCCGGGUAAGAACCAACUUAGUAAAAACAGUCCCUUCGUGCCCGGCCAUGCUGGCACAGGCAACACCCAAGUCUUUUCUGGAACAUUCUCACAGAUCACAGAGAAGACAGGAUCCCCUUCUGGUGGCCACAGUGCAGGACAGAUACCACCUGUGACCCUCAGCCUCUCAUGCUGUCCCUGGGUUGUUUAA